rnacentral:rRNA from 1 species
GAUCCUGGCUCAGGAUAAACGCUGGCGGCGCACAUAAGACAUGCAAGUCGAACGGAAGUCGUUGUAAUGAAAUGGAAAUGGACAGAGAACUUGUUCGAAGAAAAUUGAAGUAGACUUACAACAAUGGCUUUAGUGGCGGACUGGUGAGUAACGCGUAAGGAACCUGCCUUUUAGAGGGGAAUAACAAUGAGAAAUCAUUGCUAAUACCGCAUAUGCCGAGAGAAUCACAUGGUACAAUCGGGAAAGG